rnacentral:lncRNA from 1 species
CUCCCUUUGCCUCCCCCAGCAGCCUAAACCCCAGCAGAGCAGCGUGGGGUGCUGACUGCCUGGCAUUCGGUCUUCCUCAUGCUCAAUGGCCCAGUUGUCUGUUGCUCAGAAGUGCAGAUAACAAUGUAAUUCAAGCAAAGAUUUCAAAAGAGACUCACAGACACGUUGCCUUACACCUUUUUUACCUGCUCACUGUUUAAACUGAGAAAAAGACAGAACUGGGGGACUUCAGCUCCUGAAUAUUUCACAAGUGUGUCUCUGUUCUGCAACACAGCCAGAGCCACCUUCAGAGAAAAGGAACAUAGCAAGAAGGCAGAAACAGAGCCCUCAUCAGACACAACAUGCUGGCACCUUAAUAUUGGAAUUCUGGCCUCCAGGACUAUGAGAAGAUACAUUUUUAGAUCGUGAACUCUUCUUUAGUGGGAUUAUUUGAGAACAUUGCAUGGCCUAGGAAGAGGAGAGUCCCUCAGAGAGGCUCUGCCUUUAUUUUCAUCAUAAAUACAAAAGGUCAGGUUCUCCAGAAGCAGAUGCAGAAAUAACAUCUAGAGUGUGGGGUGUUGAUUAAGGAUGAAUUUCUGUGAGCAGAAGAGAAAAAAGAGGAGAUAGAGGAAGAAGGUGAACUUCCUCGUGGGAACAACCAUGCCUCAGUAACCCCAGGAUCUCCGGAGGGAGGACUGGACAAAUCACACCUAACAGCGUGUCCUGUGUCACAGUAAAAUGGGCAGGUGUUUAUUGCCACUUGGCUCAGUCACAAAAUGCCUUGGCCCUGGGAAGGACAGGAGAACUGCAGGCAGAGCAGUUCUCUGCAGGGCGGGUGGAAGCUGAAGGAGCUGACAGCCAAAUGCUGUUUACAGACCACACUCCCUACUCCUGGGCAGGCAAGUCUGGACUUCAAGGGGAAGGUCAGCGACUCAGCCUCUUAUGACUUCCACACUUCCUUGCAGGUAUGACUUUGCAUCAGCUGGUCAUAAACACCCCUCACAAUGAUGAAAGCAAUGGACUCUGUCUCUGAAGAGAAAUGUGUGAGUGCCCACUGAUAAGUAUGUCACCAACAACUUCAAAAAUUGUUCAUAAGUGUUCCAAAACCCGCCCACAAGUUUUUACAGUGGAUAAACCUAAUUAGGGUUAACUUGACAUUGAAUUUUAUUUUCUUACUGCAUUUAAAUUCACAUCCAACUGUAUUUCAAUAAAAUCUCAAAAUCAAAAUGAU